CGCUCCGCCGCCGCCGCCGCCGCCUUCCCGCUGGGCCGCCCGCGCUGCCGGGAGAGGCCGAGGCGAGGCUGCGCUUCCUCGGCGGGUCUCCCAGGUCCAGAGCUGAAAAUAUCACCUACCAAAAUCCACCCCCACCCGUUCUUUUUGAGGUUCUGCAACUUCCUUUGUUGUUUGCCUCUAGAUGAAGAUUAGAGUCUCAGUCUUUGGGAAAUUGGAGAGAAAUCCUAAAUGUAUAACCUCAGAGACUAUCCCUUGUCUUGCAUCACCCAUCACUGAAUGAAGCAGGAACCAAAGACUGUCAGAGUUUUGAGGUACCACCAGACAAAGAACAACAAUUUUCUCUGACAAGAGCCGACCGAACAAAUGGAUAUAGAAUAGCAAUUUGAAAUCCAAGGACUGAGAUUCAUUGACAUCAAGACAAGUAAAGUCAAAUAAUAACUAGAGAAAGAAGCUAGGGCAGACCUACAAAAAGAGAGAGCAAGAAAAUGGGACCAAAAUGCUGCAUGAGAGGUGAAAAAAAGAACAGAGCAAAUAUAAAAAUCAGAAGUUACUAAAAAUUGACUGCCAGUUUUACAAUAGAAACAGAUAAUUUAAACAAGGAAAGCAGUAUUUUUGGGUUUGGCAUACCUACCAGCAUUACAUGUACUAUUUCAUGUCAUUUUGAAAGCAAAGUCUUAAAAUUAAUGAAAGUUUUUUUACUUAAUAAUAAAAUUAAAAUGCCGCAGGCCCAGAAGAAAAGUGUUAUGUUGCAAUGUUUAAUGCUCUAAAUCCAAUGAGAUAAAGUAUCAUCUUAUUCAAGAUUAUAAAAUAAAACAUUUGCGUUAUAAAGGAGAAGUUAGUAUUUGUUUAUAAAAUAAAACCCAGGAGACUUAGUGUAGACAUGCUUCUCAGAAACAAGCUUAUUUUUAAUACUGCAUGUUUGACAUGUAAUGGCAGUUAAAAUAGAAAAUUAAGAUUUCACACAGGAAAGAAGAAACAUAUCUAUCUACACAUGGAGAAAGAAAGAGAGAGAGGGGGAGAGGGAAGUAGCCAUAAAAUGCUUAUUUAUGUAGAUUUAAAAUAAUAUUCACUGCUUAAUAAGUUUUGUUAGCAUUUUAAUUAAUGCCAAGACCAGCAUCGAACCCUUAGUAGGUACUGAGUAAAUAUUUGUUAAGGUAAUAAAUUGAUUAAUUAAAUAUCAUGAAAAAACCAUUAUGCAUAAUGUCUUAUGCCAAAUACAAAUCCAAAGAAUGGUUUAACCAAGCAGUACGGAGAAAGGAUCUAAAGCAAGUAAGAGUAAUAGAAUUUGAAAGACAAGCGUCUAAUAACAAUCACUAUCAGUUAUCAGGUACUGAUGUUUCAAAAUGUACUAUGCGAAGCACCAAGUUACUUUACUUUUGGGCUUAAAUUUCCUCUUCCUCAAAAUAAAAUACUGGUACAAGGUGAUCACCAAGUUCCUUUACACACUGACUCAUAUGAAUUCCACGAUAAGAUAAUGGUCAUGCAAAAAAAAAAAAAAAAUCCUCUGGAUAUAGGAAUAACAA